AAGUCGUAACAAGGUUUCCGUAGGUGAACCUGCGGAAGGAUCAUUACAAAUCCAUUUUUUUUCUCUUUAAGGUGCCAGCUGAGCGGGUUGACGAGGUCUCACAACCUUGUCCUUCUGCUCGCUGCCCUUAAGGGAAAAAAAAAACCAUAUACCUCAAAAACCCCUUUGUGCACUGUUGAAAAGGCGUCAACGUGGGGAGUACCCCCGUUAGUCGUCUACCCAUUUCAAAACGCUUUUAAUUUUGUUUUGCCUAAAGGUUUUUGAACCCAAGUGAUUUAAAUAAAUCUAAAAUACAACUUUUAGCAACGGAUCUCUUGGCUCUC
rnacentral:misc_RNA from 1 species